AAUCGAGUUGUUGCUCAUGUGGUUGAUUCUUUUUUAUAUUCGAUAUGUUGACUACAUAUUUAAUGAAAAGCAGCUUGCUAAAAAAACAAGUCUUGGAAUUUGGAAUGGAACAACUGAGUAGCUCAUUAAAGGUCAUCAAGCACAUCGAUAAUGUCAUUUGGCUGUCAAAUAUGAGGGAAAGGGAGGAAAAUCUUGAGCAUCUGGACACGCCAGACCAACCACUCAUAGUAAAUGAAAGUAACACCAAUGAUGAGAUUCAAGAAGCUCCCGAAGAAUUGAUGGAUGUAUUAGAAGACACAUGUAGUGAUCCUGAGGUCGACCUUGGGUGACGUUUCAUGCUCAGCAUGGAGCAAUCUCCUUGGUCCUGCUCGUCAUCAAGGUCCUCUUCACGCUGGAAUCCCCUCGUGGCUCAUCAUGUAGGGCCAUCUGGGUGACGCAAAGCGCUUCCUUACCAGGACCUCCAACUCUAAGGAGGAGGCUGCGCUAACAUAAAGCAGGCUGCCGACAUCCCUAAGAAGUGCAAUGAGGACGUUGUUAAGAUCACCAAGCAGAGCACUGGAGAGGGCAUUUGGAAGGAUCUCAUCCUCAACCUGACCCUAUCCUUCCACAACGUGCUCAUCGGAGAGCAUUUGUUGAGGAUUAAUCGACUUAAUGAUAUUAUAUUCGAUUUAUAGUAUAUAUCAGUAUAUAGUUUUUGUAAGGUAAUUUUUUAUUUUUCUUUA